UUGAGACCUACGGGGAGGUCUCAGCUCCAGUGCUCCAGCCCGAGGUCAACUUGGCGACCUCGGAGCUCCCACCUGAGGUCAACCAUGUGACCUCAGAGCUCCAGCUUGAGACCUAUGGGGAGGUCUCAGCUCCGGAGCUCCAGCCCGAGGUCAACUUGGCGACUUCGGAGCUCCUGCCCGAGGUCAAAACGCCGACCUUGGAGCUCCGGCUAGAGACUUACGGGGAAGUCUCAGCUCCGGAGCUCCAGCUCGAGAUCAACUUGGCGACCUCGGAGCUCCAGCUUGAGACCUACGGUCAGGUCUCAGCUCUGGAGCUCCCGCCUGAGGUCAACCAGGCGACCUCAGAGCUCCCACCUGAGGUCAACCAGGUGACC
ensembl:lncRNA